CCUACGGGAGGCAGCAGUGGGGAAUCUUCCACAAUGGGCGAAACCCUGAUCCAGCAACGCCGCGUGAGUGAGGAAGUAUUUCGGUAUGUAAAGCUCUAUCAGCAGGGAAUAGAAAAGAAGGUACCUGAAAAAGCAGCCUCGGCCAACUACGUGCCAGCAGGCGCGGUAUUACGGAGGGGGCAAGCGGUAUCCGGAUUUACUGGGUGUAAAGGGAGCGUAGACGGAAAGGCAAGUCAGAAGGGAAAACCCAGGGGUCAAACAUGGGACUGCUUUUGAAACUGUCAAACUUGAGUACGAGAGAGGUAAGAGGAAUUCCAAGUGUAGCGGUGAAAUGCGUAGAUAUAAGGAGGAACACCAGUGGCGAAGGCGUCUUACUGGACCGAAACUGACGUUGAGGCUCGAAAGUGUGGGGAGCAAACAGGAUUAGAUACCCCAGUAGUC
rnacentral:rRNA from 1 species